AGGAGGGCCUCCUGGUCACCCUGCUAGGCGCCAGUACUGUCAUGCCUCAGAGCUGGCAGGUCGUCCCAAGGAUGACAAAGGCCUUCCUGGAGGGAGGGAGCCUUGUGGUUAGGAGCGCGGGGUGCAGAAGCAGAGAUCAACAGAAAGCAACUGCCAAGGCCUCAAGCCCUGUCUACCUUGCCUGGCCUCCUAUACUUUCCUCACAAAGGGGCCUCUACUUGGUCAGACCCAGUUAGAAGACUAAAAUCAGGGGCACUCACACACCAGUA